rnacentral:lncRNA from 1 species
AUUUCAAGAUUUUCAAGCUAGCCCGAAAAGUCACCAAAAAUCGUAACUCCCAUGUCACCAAGGAGGGCUAAAAGUCACCAAAAUGGUGACUUUUGGAACCGUCUAGCAACACUGAUUAAGGAAGGGCAGGGCGGGGCACCAUUAUCGCGUGUUGCCAAUUAUAAAGAAAAAUGUUGGGUAGUAUAAUAUAGAGCCCUAUAACGAGAAAGGCAGUAUAUAUAAGUAUUCCCGACGUUUGGGCCGUGUAGAUUAUAUACACGUUUAUAAUCUCUCACGAAUCAGAAAUGUAAAAGUAAAACUCGUGCCACAUUAUAGUCUAAUGAAAUAUUGAGUGGCAACACCCAAUAAAAUGUCAUUCUGACAUUGAUAACUUUGACAAGCUACUCAAGCUCUCUAGCUAGCUAGUCUUUGUUGAGUCCAUGAUGAUAUUCGCGAUAUUUUUGCCGUGGUAUGCAAAUGCAAACAAAAACAAGAAGAAAGGGAAAACAUCAAAACAUGGAGUGUCUAGAAGUGGUGUCCAAAUUUGUAGGAAAACUCGACGUUUCUGAAGAAAAAUAAGUUCUUUUGGAAAAUCUUGGGAUGCUGAAAGACUUGCUGAUUGAAAAGAUUUGCUCAGUCAAAACAAAAUUUAGAGAAAAUAUCGUCAAUGACUGAUAUCAGUUUUUCUACAUUGAAAAGAAUAAAUAUUGAGGGAAAAGCUAACCAUGGUAUCUUCUGUACUCCAGGGAAGAAAGGAUCAGACAAGCCCACAAGAUAGAGCUAAUCUGGAGCUCAGCAAAGAGAAGAGUCACAAGCAAAAAUUUUGGCAUACCAGCAGCUGACCUUGAAAAACUUAUUCAGGAAGCUUUUGACAGCAUAACACCAGAGCUUUAGAAGAAAAUGACUCAUCAUGUGCUCAAUAUUGAAGCUCAGUGUAAAACCAGAAACAGAAUAAUGGAAGAACUUGAAUCGUUUAUUUUAAGUGUGUUUAAUGAUGAUGACUCUGACAGUAGUUCAGAAUCAAUGGACGCUGAGUUUCUAGAAUCCGAUUUUGAUUAUAGUUCCUAAUAAAGUACAAAACCUUCUUAAUUUUACAUAAUUUUAAAUUAAAGGAAAAAUAGAAAAAUUCACAUAAUAUAUCAUUUGCAGAUUAAAAAGUAACUUCUUAAUUUUACUUCAAUUUUUCCUUGCACAACAUAUUAGGCUCAUUCACUACAGAGAGUGCUCUGCUCUCGGUCAAUCGGUCAAAUGAACUAGUUGGUCUUUUAGUUCCUUUAGAUCAGUGGUUAUUGGGAGUCAGGGAUGAUUUAGGUCUGAUACAUUUCAUUCCAGACUCCUUUUACAUAUGAUAUUUUUCCAAUCUUUGGUAACUGAAUAUAAUUCCAAGUUUUAGUACCUAUAAUAUUAUCCAAGUUAUAUUUUAUAUAGAAAAUAUUUAAUUUUCCUGCAUAGAUUUAGACCUUAAACAUUCCUUUCAUCUCUUUCACACUUGUGCGAAUGGCAUUUUUUACUGUUUUGUUCCGCCUGUUAUCCAGUUCACUCGGUCAAGCGCUCUCCGAUCCCACUGAACUAUAGGACCUAAUAAGGACCGAUUCAGACCGUGCAAGAUUUAGUUCCUUUCGGUCAUUUAUGGGAUUUCAUUCCUAACAGUACUUAGCUCAUGACCGACACAAGCCUACAGCAUUGCGAUACAACGAGCAAAUGUCUCCAGCAUCCUUGGUACAAUGCCUAAAUGGCGUAGCUAUUGUAGACUAGGCUAGUUCUUAAUUUCAUUUCAUUAUGAUUUUAUUUAUUAUUGUAGAGAAAUAAAUGAUUAUGACAUUUUA